GAUGAACGCUGGCGGCGUGCUUAACACAUGCAAGUCGAACGAAGCAUUUAGAACGGAUUACUUCGGUUUGAAGUUCUUUAUGACUGAGUGGCGGACGGGUGAGUAACGCGUGGGUAACCUGCCUUGUACUGGGGGAUAGCAGCUGGAAACGGCUGGGAAUACCGCAUAAGCGCACAAUGUUGCAUGACAUGGUGUGAAAAACUCCGGUGGUAUAAGAUGGACCCGCGUCUGAUUAGCUCGUUGGUGAGAUAACAGCCCACCAAGGCGACGAUCAGUAGCCGACCUGAGAGGGUGACCGGCCACAUUGGGACUGAGACACGGCCCAGACUCCUACGGGAGGCAGCAGUGGGGAAUAUUGCACAAUGGAGGAAACUCUGAUGCAGCGACGCCGCGUGAGUGAAGAAGUAAUUCGUUAUGUAAAGCUCUAUCAGCAGGGAAGAUAGUGACGGUACCUGACUAAGAAGCUCCGGCUAAAUACGUGCCAGCCGCCGCCGUAA
rnacentral:rRNA from 1 species